GACGAACGCUGGCGGCGUGCUUAACACAUGCAAGCCGAACGGAAAGGCCCUGCUUUUGUGGGGUGCUCGAUAGGCGAACGGGUGAGUAACACGUGAGUAACCUGCCCUUGACUUUGGGGUAACUUCAGGAAACUGGGGCUAAUACCGGAUAUGAGCUCCUGCACCGUAGGGGGGGUUGGUAAGUUUCGGCUGUGGGGGCUGGUCUCGCGGCUUCUCAGCUUGUUGGUGGGGUAGUGGCUUACCAGGUCUGUGACGGAUAGCCGGCCUGGGAGCGUGGCCGGCCACCUUGGGCCUGCGGUACGGCCCAGUCUCCUACGGGACGCAGUAGUGGGGAAUAUUGCACAGUGGGCGGAAGCCUGUUGCAGCAACGCCGCGUUCGGAAUGCCGUCUUUCGGGUUGUAAACCGCUUUCGCCUGUGCCGUAGCGUGAUUGACGGUAAUUGGUAAAGAAGCCCCGGCUAACUACGUG
rnacentral:rRNA from 1 species